AGGCACCAGCCUGUAAAUGCACAGAUGUCAAUGCCCCGUGCAGGAUUCCUGGCUGACAGCUACAGCCCUUGCACUGCAAGGGAAAUCAGAACAGGAUAAAAUAGAAUAUUUCAGCUGCAAGGGGUCUGCAGGGAUCAUCUAGUCCCACUGCAUUUUGAAAAAUUCAGUUUGUUGUUCAGAUGCAAAGCAUCUCAGGGUUGCUGAAAGUUCACCACUCCUGGGGGCUCCUGCCAGUGCCAAAGAUUUCUCACACCAAGCUUUUUGUUAGCACAGAUUUCACUGCAUGGGUGAGACAGAGGGUUGUCACUUAGGAGGGUUGUCACUCACUAUUUCCAGCUACCUAAAUCUUGGCUUGAAUUUACUUAUAUUACCCUGACUAAAAUCAUCCUACCAGUCUAAAUGGCAAAGUAAAAUAAUUGCCCUUGACUUUUCAGUAGCUUUUCAGUAGCCAGUUUUCCUCAGCCUCCUCUGGAGGUCUUGGGCAGCAUGACUUGAAAGGGAGUCCUGUUCUUCUCCAGUGUCUACAGAGGUGUAGGCUUUUAAAUUAGGUUCCUAAAUUUAGGUGGGAAUGAUGCUUUAAAUGCAGAGCCAGGUCCUGUUAAAAUACUUCUCUGGUUGGAGCAAAUUGUUGCCCUCACCAAACUGCUCCUGGGCUGGUUGGCUUCUGUUCCUAAUGCUGUUGUCAUUCAAAGGUUGGUGAAAAACCUAAACAGAAGAAAAGAAGGCUGGAUUCCUGUCCACAGUCUUCAGAUUGUAGUCGGUGACUGCAGAUUUCGGAAUGCCAAAGUUGCAGAUGCUGCCCUGUGUAACACGAGAAAGUUUAGUUCCCCUUGAAUUAAGGGUGAACUAGCAGCAUCCUAUUUUCGAUGCUCUUUGGAAGCUUUCAACUCAGUGUUACAGAGAACUAGCACAGUAGUUGGAGCUGUCCUGUACUAUUCAUCACAUUCACAGACCUCCCCAGCUUCAUCUGCACUGAGUGGGACCGGGGUCCUAAGCAGCUUCUCAUGCUCAUAAAGGAGGCCAUUCUCUGCCCUUUGUUUCUUUUCGCCUGUGGAAAUUCUGGUAUUUUGUUAAUUUUUCCUGCUGUUUUUCCAUGACAUACAUCAUGUUUCAUCAGAGAAGUCCACUGCAGUUUCCUGACACUUCGUUUAGAUGCUUGAAUUUUCUUCUACAGGUUGAAGUAGGUUUUGCCUACUUAUUAGCUGACAACUGUUGAAGUUGCAAACAAGAGUUGAGUUUUGGUAAACCAAAAAGAAAAACAAAACCAAACAAAGAAGCUGUAUGUCCUGCUUCAUUGAUUUUAUGGGUGGGUUUUUCUUAAAUAUCUGCUUCAGCUAUGUGAAUGUAAUGUUCUGUAAGAGCAUCAUCUGGCUGACUCCCAUGUGAGGAAGCAAUAACACUAAAGAUCCUCUUUUUGCACUUAGGGUCUGACUCCAGCCCAUUGCAGUCAGCCUCCCUGAUUUCAGCCAGGUCUGGAUCAGGUCAAACUGACACCUCAGGGUUGUCACCAAGCACUUAGGGUCCCAAAGUGUCCCAGGGCUGAAACCUGUAUCUAGCAAGUGUUGAAGUUUACAUUAAUGUAUGUACUUUGGAACACGUGCCAUAAAUCCAAGCUAAAUGUCCAUGUUUGCACUAAGGAUGUUCUUGUGAUAAGACUUUUUCAGCAUCUUUAACAAUAACGUACCUAUUGAAUUUUUGAGAAGGGAAAAAGAAUGUUGAAGACUCAUCGUUUAAUUUUGUGUUUCUUUGUCUAGAUUUGCUUUUGUAGAGCAUAGGUAGGUACAGGUGGUUUGAAUUUUAAGCAGAUGUGUGCAAAGAGCACCUGAGUGUGUGGAGAGCAGGGUCAGUGGUGUGCAUGCAGAAUGCAUCUGCUCUGCCACAGCCCAAUGAAAUGUUUACACCACGGACUAAAGGGGGCCCUUUAUGAUCUGAUUUUCUUUGUGAGCCCCAGGCCCAGCUCAGCCGUGCUGGCUUUGGUGUGGGGAAUUGCUGAGCUGCUGCUCGGGGCUCCUGGGGCUCCCCAGGAUGGGGUGACCCUGUGCACCCCCAGGGCCAAAUCUGAGCUGAGCAGCACCAGGACCCAGCACACCCCGGGCACUGGGAUCACAGUGCACAGCUGCUAAACCCCUGAAGGUUCUUUUCCUCUACUUUCCAAUCAGUCGAUGCACUAAUUAGGUGGGAAAGGCUUAAGUUACUGCUGGGGCUCUUUACAGUGCUAACUAUUCUUGUGGUAACAAUUCACAUUUUGAGGUACUACUGUAAAUAUUUGUCUGAAACAUAGCACACAUUGCAUAUUGAAUGAUUUUAAUCUUUUUGUCUUCCAUAAUUUUAAAUCUAAGCUUUUAUUAAUUUAUGAGGUUGAUAAGUUCUGCAAAUCUGAAUGUACAGUCUGAGGUUUUUAACAUUUGAAACUUUGCACACAUGGUAUGUUCCCCCGAGUAUGCUGUUGAACUAGGCUCUUCAUGUGUAUGUAUAAAUUACAGUGGAGACUUUUCUCUGACUGCAAGUUUAAAUGAACUAUAUUGUAUAUGUACCUGUAAAAAUGUGUCAAAUCUAUAUUUAAAGAUUAAAAACUUGUUAAAUAAAUCCA